CACGGAAGUUAAGCUCUUCAGCGCCGAUGGUAGUCGGGGGUUUCCCCCUGACAGAGUAGGACGCCGCCAAGC
rnacentral:rRNA from 1 species